rnacentral:rRNA from 1 species
UACGGAGGGGGCUAGCGUUGUUCGGAAUUACUGGGCGUAAAGCGCACGUAGGCGGAUGUGCCAGUCAGGGGUGAAAUCCCGGAGCUCAACUUCGGAACUGCCUCUGAUACAGCACGUCUUGAGUCCGGAAGAGGUGGGUGGAAUUCCUAGUGUAGAGGUGAAAUUCGUAGAUAUUAGGAAGAACACCGGUGGCGAAGGCGGCCCACUGGUCCGGUACUGACGCUGAGGUGCGAAAGCGUGGGGAGCAAACAGG